GAUGAACGCUAGCUACAGGCUUAACACAUGCAAGUCGAGGGGAAACGACAUCGAAAGCUUGCUUUUGAUGGGCGUCGACCGGCGCACGGGUGAGUAACGCGUAUCCAACCUGCCCAUCACUUGGGAAUAACCUUGCGAAAGUAAGACUAAUACCCAAUGACAUCCCACGAAGACAUCUGAAUGGGAUUAAAGAUUUAUCGGUGAUGGAUGGGGAUGCGUCUGAUUAGCUUGUUGGCGGGGUAACGGCCCACCAAGGCAACGAUCAGUAGGGGUUCUGAGAGGAAGGUGCCCCACAUUGGAACUGGGACACGUGCCAAACUCCUACGGGAGGCAGCAGUGAGGAAUAUUGGUCAAUGGGCGAGAGCCUGAACCAGCCAAGUAGCGUGCAGGAUGACGGCCCUAUGGGUUGUAAACUGCUUUUAUAAGGGAAUAAAGUGGGUCUCGGGAGACUUUUUGCAUGUACCUUAUGAAUAAGGACCGGCUAAUUCCGUG
rnacentral:rRNA from 1 species